ensembl:lncRNA novel transcript, antisense to FBXW4
GAAGCCGGAGUUGAGCGAGGCCCGGGCUAUCCGGCGCCAGAGCAGAUCGCAGCUGGUGAAGCGCCGCAGCCAGCGGCACACCUGGGCCAGGCGGCCGAGGGCCCGCAUGUCCAGCUGUUUGAAAUACAAAUAGAUGAAUGAGGAAAAUCCCCUAUGUUUAAAAUCCACCAUGAAGAGAAAAGCAGGAAGAAGUUCAAGCUAGCCCCUGGGGAUUUUCCCAGGUUCAGUAGAUUGACCUGGAAACAAGGAGUGCAGCUUGAGCUCUUCUUCCUUUAGCAGAACAAGCACUGGUCAGAGAAAUUUCCAAACACAUGGAGCUUAGCGAGACCACCUGCUCCUAACACAGGACAAUGGCCACUGGACCACCAACUCUGUUGCUUCAAGUCAACACCAGCUCUCCUUCACAACAGAUGACAGGCUUUCCGCUAGAAGAGUUUCCCAGUAAAAGAGUGAGCAAAGAAAUGCUAAACUUCACAUCUGCAAUAGAAGCUGAUAAAUGAGAAGUGAAAUGGACAAAUUAAAAAGCUGAAACUGAAUUCAGUCUUAUAGUAGAAUCAAACAAUAAUUACAUCGAUAUCAGCCCUGGCAAGACAGAGCUAAGAGCUCAAAUUAUCUCUUGGCAAGGGUGUGGGUCUGUAAAUGCUAUGCAGCAACUAAUGAGUAGAGAGGAAUUUUUGACCAGGUGCUCAUGCAUUCCCUACACUGCACCAAGCUCAGCAGAUAUGUGGCACAACCCAGCACCUUUAUAAUCUCUCAAGAUCUCCAUCUCUGGCCGGGCUCGGUGACUCACACCUGUAACCCCAGCACUUUGGGAGGCCAAGGCGGGUGGAUCACCUGAGGUCAGGGGUUCAAGACCAGCCUGACCAGCAAGGUGAAACCCCAUCUCUACUAAAAAUACAAAAA